rnacentral:rRNA from 1 species
GACGAACGCGGCGGCGUGCCUAAUACAUGCAAGUAGAACGCUGAAGGAGGAGCUUGCUUCUCCGGAUGAGUUGCGAACGGGUGAGUAACGCGUAGGUAACCUGCCUGGUAGCGGGGGAUAACUAUCGGAAACGAUAGCUAAUACCGCAUAAGAGUAGAUGUUGCAUGACAUUUGCUUAAAAGGUGCAAUUGCAUCACUACCAGAUGGACCUGCGUUGUAUUAGCUAGUUGGUGGGGUAACGGCUCACCAAGGCGACGAUACAUAGCCGACCUGAGAGGGUGAUCGGCCACACUGGGACUGAGACACGGCCCAGACUCCUACGGGAGGCAGCAGUAGGGAAUCUUCGGCAAUGGACGGAAGUCUGACCGAGCAACGCCGCGUGAGUGAAGAAGGUUUUCGGAUCGUAAAGCUCUGUUGUAAGAGAAGAACGAGUGUGAGAGUGGAAAG